rnacentral:rRNA from 1 species
UACGGGGGAGCAAGCGUUGUUCGGAUUUACUGGGCGUAAAGGGCGCGUAGGCGGUCAGCACAAGUCAGUUGUGAAAUCUCCGGGCUUAACUCGGAAAGGUCAAGUGAUACUGUUGUGCUAGAGUGCGGAAGGGGCAACUGGAAUUCUCGGUGUAGCGGUGAAAUGCGUAGAUAUCGAGAGGAACACCUGCGGCGAAGGCGGGUUGCUGGGCCGACACUGACGCUGAUGCGCGAAAGCGUGGGAGCAAACGGG